GAAUAAUCUGAUAAGUUUGUUGCUGGUUCUCUAGGGAGCAUGUGCACACUUGUCAUCUUUAUAUAUAUCUCCACCUGUGCACCUUUUGUAGACCUCUGACUUGCUAGCCAACUCAGGUUUGAGGAUUGACUUCAUGUCUUUCCCGGUCUAUGCUUCUUCAUAUACCCAAUUGUAUGUUAUUAGAAUGUAAAUCAAAUGGCCUUUGUGCCUAUAUACACUAUACAACUUUCAGCAACGGAUCUCUUGGCUCUCGCAUCGAUGAAGAACGCAGCGAAAUGCGAUAAGUAAUGUGAAUUGCAGAAUUCAGUGAAUCAUCGAAUCUUUGAACGCACCUUGCGCUCCUUGGUAUUCCGAGGAGCAUGCCUGUUUGAGUGUCAUUAAUAUAUAUCAACUCUCUUCAGCUUUUGCUUGUUGAGUGUUGGAUGUGGGGGGAGGAAGGUUUUUGCUGGUCCUCUCUCAGGUCAGCUCCCCUGAAAUGUAUUAGCGGAACAAUUGUAAACCGUUCAUUGGUGUGAUAACUAUCUACGCUAUUGACGUUGAAGCACAGUUCAGCUUCUAACAGUCCCAUUGACUUGGACAAAUUUUCAUUAAUGUGACCUCAAAUCAGGUAGGACACCCCGCUGAACUUAUGCAUAUCAAUAAGCGGAGGAAAAGAAACUAACAAGGAUUCCCCUAGUAACUGCGAGUGAAGCGGGAAAAGCUCAAAUUUAAAAUCUGUCAGUCUUUAUGAUUGUCCGAGUUGUAAUCUAGAGAAGUGUUAUCCGCGCUGGACCGUGUACAAGUCUCCUGGAAUGGAGCCUCAUAGAGGGUGAGAAUCCCGUCUUUGACACGGACUGCCAGGGCUUUUGUGAUGCGCUCUCAAAGAGUCGAGUUGUUUGGGAAUGCAGCUCAAAAUGGGUGGUAAAUUCCAUCUAAAGCUAAAUAUUGGCGAGAGACCGAUAGCGAACAAGUACCGUGAGGGAAAGAUGAAAAGAACUUUGGAAAGAGAGUUAAACAGUACGUGAAAUUGCUGAAAGGGAAACGCUUGAAGUCAGUCGCGUUGUCCAGGGAUCAACCUUGCUUUUGCUUGGUGUACUUUCUGGUUGACGGGUCAGCAUCAAUUUUGACUGUUGGAAAAAGGUCAAGGGAAUGUGGCAUCUUCGGAUGUGUUAUAGCCCUUGGUCGCAUAAAUGGUCGGGAUUGAGGAACUCAGCACGCCGUAAGGCCCGGGUGUUAACCACGUUACGUGCUUAGGAUGCUGGCAUAAUGGCUUUAAUCGACCCGUCUUGA
rnacentral:rRNA from 1 species